rnacentral:rRNA from 1 species
GGAUUAGUACGGUGAAACGCUUCAGGUGUAAACGGAAAAGACCCGAAAUUUCUGAAAGAGGAGAUUCACGUCUUCUCGCUGACUCAACUCCCUGACCAACGUCGACGGUUCUAUGCCUCAUUCGAACUUGUUCGGAGCGAGUGGUGGAGCCGCCGUGGCUGGGGUUGUGGGGUCGCGGCAGACCGCACUUCUCCUCUAGUAAGACGUCGUUGACCCGUCCGGUCAUGGUCUAAGAGUGUGAUAGGGGAGCCUGUUCGUGCUACUCCGGUAGUCAUGAGCAGACCUACGCAUUUCUGGCCAUGAAUGCUCUGGUCGGUAUCAAAAGACAGUGUCGAACCGCUUCUGCGGAGGGAGGAAUCCCUUUUCGAGAGCGCGAUUGGUCCUUGGCAAGGUGUCGAGUCGCGUUAGUCAAGUCGGGCCUUCGUCCGGCUGACUGCUCUCGCGCCUGUUGGUCGAGGUACUCUAUCGCCGGUUGAAAGAAAUGGCACUAGUCUACGGCGAAUCAGUUUUGGGCUCUUGUCCGACCCGUCUUGAAACACGGACCAAGGAGUUUAGCGUGUGCGCGAGUCAUUGAGUGUUAAAACUCAAAGGCAAAAUGAAAGUUGAAGGGAACUUUACGUUUCUGAGGGAGGAUGAGCUGGUCCUUCACGGGGCCGCUCCGCACUCCCGGGGCGUCUCUAUCUCAUUGCGAGAGGAGGCGCACCUAGAGCGUACACGCUGAUACCCGAAAGAUGGUGAACUAUGCCUGGCCAGGACGAAGCCAGGGGAAACCCUGGUGGAGGUCCGCAGCGAUUCUGACGUGCAAAUCGAUCGUCGGAGCUGGGUUUAGGGGCGAAAGACCAAUCGAACCAUCUAGUAGCUGGUUCCCUCUGAAGUUUCCCUCAGGAUAGCUUGCGCUCGGACGAGACGAGUCUCAUCCGGUAGAGCGAAUGAUUAGAGGCCUUGGGGUCGAAACGACCUCAACCUAUUCUCAAACUCCAAAUAGAUGAGAACCCUGGCUUUCUUAAACUAUGAAGCCAAGGGGUUUCGGAUCAGAGUGCCAAGUGGGCCAAUUUUGGUAAGCAGAAGUGGCGCUGUGGGAA